rnacentral:tRNA from 1 species
UGGGAAAUAGUUCAACGGUAGAACAGCGGACUCUGACUCCGUCAAUCUUGGUUCGAAUCCAGGUUUCCCAGCCA